ACUCCUGACUGACCGAUAGUGAACCAGUACCGUGAGGGAAAGGCGAAAAGAACCCCGGCGAGGGGAGUGAAAAAGAACCUGAAACCGUGUACGUACAAGCAGUGGGAGCACCCUUCGGGGUGUGACUGCGUACCUUUUGUAUAAUGGGUCAGCGACUUAUAUUCUGUAGCAAGGUUAACCGAAUAGGGGAGCCGGAGGGAAACCGAGUCUUAAUUGGGCGUUAAGUUGCAGGGUAUAGACCCGAAACCCGGUGAUCUAGCCAUGGGCAGGUUGAAGGUUGGGUAACACUAACUGGAGGACCGAACCGACUAAUGUUGAAAAAUUAGCGGAUGACCUGUGGCUGGGGGUGAAAGGCCAAUCAAACCGGGAGAUAGCUGGUUCUCCCCGAAAGCUAUUUAGGUAGCGCCUCGUGAAUUCAUCUCCGGGGGUAGAGCACUGUUUCGGCUAGGGGGCCAUCCCGGCUUACCAACCCGAUGCAAACUGCGAAUACCGGAGAAUGUUAUCACGGGAGACACACGGCGGGUGCUAACGUCCGUCGUGAAGAGGGAAACAACCCAGACCGCCAGCUAAGGUCCCAAAGUCAUGGUUAAGUGGGAAACGAUGUGGGAAGGCCCAGACAGCCAGGAUGUUGGCUUAGAAGCAGCCAUCAUUUAAAGAAAGCGUAAUAGCUCACUGGUCGAGUCGGCCUGCGCGGAAGAUGUAACGGGGCUAAACCAUGCACCGAAGCUGCGGCAGCGACGCUUAUGCGUUGUUGGGUAGGGGAGCGUUCUGUAAGCCUGUGAAGGUGGCCUGUGAGGGUUGCUGGAGGUAUCAGAAGUGCGAAUGCUGACAUAAGUAACGAUAAAGCGGGUGAAAAGCCCGCUCGCCGGAAGACCAAGGGUUCCUGUCCAACGUUAAUCGGGGCAGGGUGAGUCGACCCCUAAGGCGAGGCCGA
rnacentral:rRNA from 1 species